rnacentral:rRNA from 1 species
CGCGCAGGCGGCGAUAUCAGUCAGGCGUGAAAGCCCCGGGCUUAACCUGGGAACUGCGUUUGAUACUGUAUUGCUAGAGACCGGAAGAGGAUGGUGGAACUCCCAGUGUAGAGGUGAAAUUCGUAGAUAUUGGGAAGAACACCGGUGGCGAAGGCGGCCAUCUGGUCCGGAUCUGACGCUGAGGCGCGAAAGCGUGGGGAGCAAACA